rnacentral:rRNA from 1 species
AAAUUGAAGAGUUUGAUCAUGGCUCAGAUUGAACGCUGGCGGCAGGCCUAACACAUGCAAGUCGAACGGUAACAGGAAGCAGCUUGCUGCUUUGCUGACGAGUGGCGGACGGGUGAGUAAUGUCUGGGAAACUGCCUGAUGGAGGGGGAUAACUACUGGAAACGGUGGCUAAUACCGCAUAACGUCGCAAGACCAAAGAGGGGGACCUUCGGGCCUCUUGCCAUCAGAUGUGCCCAGAUGGGAUUAGCUUGUUGGUGAGGUAACGGCUCACCAAGGCGACGAUCCCUAGCUGGUCUGAGAGGAUGACCAGCCACACUGGAACUGAGACACGGUCCAGACUCCUACGGGAGGCAGCAGUGGGGAAUAUUGCACAAUGGGCGCAAGCCUGAUGCAGCCAUGCCGCGUGUAUGAAGAAGGCCUUCGGGUUGUAAAGUACUUUCAGCGGGGAGGAAGGUGUUGCGGUUAAUAACCGCAGCAAUUGACGUUACCCGCAGAAGAAGCACCGGCUAACUCCGUGCCAGCAGCCGCGGU